rnacentral:lncRNA from 1 species
AGUUACUUCUUUGCUAGGUUGAGGAAAGGGUGGAAGCGCCUCCUGCAGCCACGAAUAUCCUCCAGUGCCUGAGAGAAAACGGCCUAAUCGAAAACGUCCGCGGCAUACAUCCAUUCUUAAAACUUGAGUGGCUGCUUUUCUGGGUGGAAAAGAGCGGUAUCAGACAGGGUGAGCAGUCGGGGAACGGAUGAACAAAGACUUGCACCGUGGCCCUGAUGCCUUUGUUCCGAGUUCUAUUCAGUUGUACUUGUGCGUUGUUACAGGACUUUAGAAUGCAGCCCUGCCCCCCAACCCCCACCUCCCAGGGCCGACCUGUGCUCCUAGGAAGGCAAACCUCCCAGGAAUAUAUUCUGCAUAACUAUACAAAUAGGCCUUUAUUCAAGGCUUUUGGAUUAUGACAAAGAUUACCCUCAGGAGUAGUAAGAUUCUACUAGCAGGAUAAUAGAAAGGAUUAAGGCUCCCCUCCAAAGAAAAUUUUUUUAAGUUAGAAACGGAGGCGAGCCGCAGUGGGUCAUGCCUGUAAUUUCAAUGCUUUGGAAGGCCGAGGUGGGAGGAUAGGAUAGCUUGAGGCUAGGAGUUCGAGACCAGCCUGGGCAACAUGGGGAGACCCCCCCCCAUCCCUCCAAAAAAGAAAAGAAAACUGGAAAGCCUUAAAGAAACCUUUCAAACUUUAGUGUGUAUCAGAAUUACCUGAAAGGUUUGUUAAAACAGAUUGCUGGGCCAUACCCCCAGAAUUCUCUGACUGGGCUAUCGGAAAUAAUGCCUGAGAAUGUGCAUAUCUAAUAAGUUCCUAGUUCCACUUUAGGACCCUAGAAGGUUAGUAUCUUUCCUCUCUACCAGGCUUAUCUUAGGAUGAACCGUUCGGGGUUUGCUGAUGUGAAGCUAAAACAAAAAUAUUCUUUAAAAGGAGGGAUGUCUUAUUCAGUCCAUAAGAUCAUCUAAUGUAUUAAGCUGGCUUGGGGGAUGAAUCGGGUGUUUCAUUCAUUCAUUUGACAGGUAAGCAUUGCUUACCUACUCUAUUAUGACGGGGUCUGUGCUGACUCCGAAUAUUCGGUGGGAUGCAAAAUAGUUAAGUGCUCUUGUAGAGUUUACAGAUUAGCGGAAAACAGACAAAUUGUGUUAAGAGCAAUAGAAAGAAGAGAGCGGAGGACUCUGAGAAAUGAAGGCGAGGAGUGGGAGAAUGAGAGGAAGGUGGAAGGCAGGUAAGGAGUCUGACCAGCUGGUAUUUAAAAGCUAAGAUGGGGGGAAGAGUCUCCCAGGAGAGUGAACAGCAAGUGUCAAGGACCUGAGGCAGGAACAAGCUUGGCUUCUUCCACAAAUUGAAAGAAGAUCCAUAUGAAAGAGUCAGAGAAGAUGCAAUGGGAGAUGAAGACUGAGAGAUAAGGAAGAGUGAAACAGUGCAAGAAUUUGUAGACUGCUCUAAGCAUUUUAAAGUUUAUCUUAAAAGCAGCUUGAUAAAUUAGAUUUAUGGUAAUUAGUUUAAAAAUAAAAAUAAAGCAACUUGAAAGGAUUUAGGCAAGAAAAAGUUGUGUCUGCUUUGUAGAGAAUGGCUCCAGCAGAGUCCAGAUUGAAUCAUACAUUGUAUGAUAUUCUGUGUUCCGGAGUUCGCAGAUAGAAGUAUGUGAGGGCCAGCAUCCAAAUGGAAUCAGUAACAAUGCCUGGAUUUUAUUCAGAUGCUGUGUACCCAGCCAAAAGACUACAUUUCUCAAUCUCCAUUGUAGCUGGAUGUGGCUGUGUGAUCAAGUUAUGACCAAUGAGAUAUAAGUAGAAGUAGCUUGGCCAGACACAGUGGCUCACACCUGUAAUCCCAGCCCUUUGGGAGGCCAAAGCAGGAGGAUCACUUGCACUCAGGAGUUGGAAACUGCAGACCAGCCUGGAGAACACAGUGACACCUUGUCUCUACACAAAAUGAAAAAGUUAGCAGGGUAUGGUGGCAUGUGCCUGUGGUCCCAGCUACUUCCAGCUACUUGGGAGGCUAAAAUGGAAGGAUCGCUUGAGCCUGGGAGAUUGAGGCCUCAGUGAGCCAUGAUCAUGCCACUGUACUCCAGCCUGGGUGACAAGAGCAAGACCCUGUCUCUCAAAAAAAAAAAAACGCGGCUGGGUGGAACAUCUGGAAAACAUCUUUAAAGAACGCUGACUCAAUCAGGAGGAGCACCAUUUUGUUUCUUGCCCUCUGCCCUUCCUGCCUGAAACAGAUAAGUGCCCUCUGUGUACCAAAAAGGAAUGUACUGUUUAUAGAGACUUCAAAUCAGCAGAAAAUUCAAAUAGUUAUAACUUUUCUUUAUAAUCCAUCAUGAAAAAGAGUAACGACAAGUAAGCAAACUAAUAUCAGCUAUUUCAAUAGUUUCUUUUCCUUUUUUUUCUUUUUGAGACAGAGUCUCGACAGGAUGGAGUGCAGUGGUGCAAUCUCAGCUCACUGCAACCUCCGCUUCCCGGGUUCAAGCGAUUCUCCUGCCUCAGCCUCCUGAAUAGGUGGGACUACAGGUGCAUGCCACCAUGCCCAGCUAAUUUUUGUAUUUUUAGUAGAGAUGGGGUUUCACCAUGUUGACCAAGAUGGUCUCCAUCUCUUGACUCGUGAUCCGCCCACCUCGACCUCCCAAAGUGCUGGGAUUACAGGCGUGAGCCACCGCGCCCGACCUUUUUUUUUUCUUUUUUUAAUAAGUUUUUGUUCUGUCACCCAGACUGGAAUGCAGUGGUGUAGUUGUCGCUCACUGCAGCCUCUAACUCCUGGGCUCAAGGGAUCCUCCUGCCUCAGCCACCCCAAGUGCUGGGAUUACAGGCGUGAGACACUGCACCUGGCCUAAAUACAAUUUCCAAGCAGAUAUGACUGUUAACUUACUUUGUUGAACCAAAAAAAACGUAGCUAAGAUAUUGGCAAAAACUAAGAAAACAUCUUUUUUGGAUUCUCAUGUCUACAUUUCAGCCUAUUAUUUGGAAUGAAUUCCUACAUGUGCAUAAUGAAUUGUACCACUCUAAGCCUAUUGACUC